rnacentral:rRNA from 1 species
UACGUAGGUGGCAAGCGUUGUCCGGAAUCACUGGGCGUAAAGCGCGCGCAGGCGGCGAUCUACGUCUGGGGUGAAAGCCCGGAGCUCAACUCCGGGACUGCCUUGGAUACGGGAUCGCUUGAGGAUUGGAGAGGCAAGGGGAAUUCCACGUGUAGCGGUGAAAUGCGUAGAUAUGUGGAGGAACACCUGCGGCGAAGGCGCCUUGCUGGCCAAUUUCUGACGCUGAGGCGCGAAAGCGUGGGGAGCAAACAGG